CCUUGUCAAUUUAAGCUGUUGAAAUGACUCUUACAGUAUUUAACCUUGACCCUUCAUAUAUUUCUAAAUGGUUGUGUAUACAUUGAAGGUAAAAACCUCUCUAUGUUCUAAUUUGGAAAGUUUUUACAUGUUUCCCAGGUGGUGAAAGUCGAGUCAAAUAUCAGUAGGUUAAAUCAAAAGGAUAAGGUAUAGUCAUUCAUGAAACAAAAUUAUACACACUUAAGAAAACCUUAAGCAGAAGAACAGCUCCCUAAUUCCUGUUCUUUGUCUGAAAAUCACAAAGGAAGUUUCAAGACAGCUUCUAGCUUUGAUUCAUCAGAAUUAAAUACUAAAUGUUGAUGCUCUACAAAUAAAUAACACAUACCCAUUUUUUUUCAUCGUAAAAAAUUUAUAAAAAAAAAAAUUUAAACACCCACUUUCCACUUCCAAAUAUUUGUUAAGCAACUUGAAUAUCUAACAUUGUUACUUUGUUUCUGAUUGGGUAACAACAAAGAAAUUAUAUUGAGGAAUUUUUACAGAUUCUAUGGACCAUAAAAGAUGGGAAGACAUAGAUGGAUAAAUCCAAUUCAAAAUCUCUUUUGGAAGAAAUUAAGGAUAGCAUUUGAAAACAUACCUUACAAGCCAAC
rnacentral:lncRNA from 1 species